rnacentral:rRNA from 1 species
UACGUAGGGUGCGAGCGUUAAUCGGAAUUACUGGGCGUAAAGGGUGCGCAGGCGGUUUUGUAAGCCAGAUGUGAAAUCCCCGGGCUCAACCUGGGAAUGGCAUUUGGGACUGCAAGGCUAGAGUGUGGCAGAGGAGACUGGAAUUCCCGGUGUAGCAGUGAAAUGCGUAGAUAUCGGGAGGAACACCGGUGGCGAAGGCGGUUCUCUGGGCAUGACCUGACGCUGAGGAGCGAAAGUGUGGGGAGCGAACAGG